rnacentral:misc_RNA from 1 species
UAAUUUUCUGGAAGCGUACAAAAUGGAACAAGAUUCUUCUGUAGCAGCAGACUUGCAAGAUGGGGUUGAUGAAUUCUCCAAUAUCUCUUUUCGUCCAUUGGAGGUCUCCGAUGUCGAUGAUUUCAUGGUCUGGGCUUCUGAUGAGAGAGUGACUCAUUUUUGUAGUUUUAAUCCUUACACUAGCAAAGAAGAUGGCAUAAACUAUAUCAAAAACACUGUUAUAUCCCACCCAUGGUUUAGGGCAAUAUGCCUUAACAACAGGCCUAU